rnacentral:rRNA from 1 species
UGGGGAAUAUUGCACAAUGGGGGAAACCCUGAUGCAGCGACGCCGCGUGAACGAAGAAGGUAUUCGUAUCGUAAAGUUCUGUCCUAUGGGAAGAUAAUGACAGUACCAUAGAAGAAAGCUCCGGCUAAAUACGUGCCAGCAGCCGCGGUAAUACGUAUGGAGCGAGCGUUGUCCGGAAUUAUUGGGCGUAAAGGGUACGCAGGCGGUUUAAUAAGUCGAAUGUUAAAGAUCGGGGGUCAACCCCGUAAAGCAUUGGAAACUGAUAAACUUGAGUAGUGGAGAGGAGAGUGGAAUUCCUAGUGUAGUGGUGAAAUACGUAGAUAUUAGGAGGAAUACCAGUAGCGAAGGCGACUUUCUGGACACAAACUGACGCUGAGGUACGAAAGCGUGGGGAGCAAACAGG